UCAAUGGCUGGUGUUAACCAUGCAUUCCUAUCAAUGCACUUUGUUUCCUCACUGAUAGGAAACAGCUGUCUGUGGCCCCGGUAGGUGCCUAGAGACACAGAAGAAGAAAUGAAAGAAGUCUGGGGGAUGGCACGAGCAGGAUGGGCAUAGAUUGGGGUUUCAGUGCUGCUGCUCUUGCCACUAAUAAGAAAAGAAAACAAGUGUCCUGCAGUGCAUCUAGUGCCUGGUUGGUUUGGCCAGACCAAACCAUCAACAACAUUGCCUGCCACAACAGACAGCACCUGAUGGUAGAGAUAAAACUGAGUAGUACCCAUAAUGCAACUGGCCAACUGCACAGUUCUGCGUGGGGUGGGGAAAGCUCCUUCCUGCCUCCCACAGACUGGCUUAUGCUCUGACUCAAGCUCUCAUCAGCCUGCUUUAGCUUGUAUUGUUACCAGCAUCAUGAAGGGAAAGCUACCCUUUAAGCUUUAGCUGCAAAACACAAUCAUAUGUGUUUUUCAUCUGGGUGGAAGCUGCCUCCAGUUUUCAUAAGGAUUCCUGUUUUACUCUAAGGACACUGACUGGUUGACAGUUUCAGCUACGGGCUUUAGAAUAAUGGGAAUUGUGUGUCUAAAUCCCCUGGACAGCGAUGAAAGCCUGGACUUCUAAUGCUGGAUUUCUAACCUCCUGUUUUCCCAGUGAGAUGCAUUUCUUGCCAUGGGGAUGUUCAGAACCUGCUUUCAUCAAAACUGGAGGUGGGGAGAAAAGAAGGCAGAGGUCCUGUUUGAACACCAUGUUUGUGGCUGAAGGAACAAAACAGCAGUUUGGUGCCAGAGAGGGGUUCAGGCUGAGGGUGAAACCAAGAUGUCCUCACAGCCCCAUACCUGACAGCAUCUCUUUCACUUCCCCACACAUCUUACAAUGACAUCAAUCAGCAUCUCUGGAUUGCAUGUGUCAUUUUGCUGUGCCUUCAGCCAAGACCCACAGUUCCUACUUUAGUGGACUGUGAAAUAAAAGUUCCUGGCAUGUGA